AUUGAACGCUGGCGGCAGGCUUAACACAUGCAAGUCGAGCGAGCGGCGGACGGGUGAGUAAUGUCUGGGAAACUGCCUGAUGGAGGGGGAUAACUACUGGAAACGGUAGCUAAUACCGCAUACCAUCAGAUGUGCCCAGAUGGGAUUAGCUAGUAGGUGGGGUAAUGGCUCACCUAUGCGACGAUCCCUAGCUGGUCUGAGAGGAUGACACGCCACCCUGUAACUGAGAGACGGUCCAGGUUCCUAGGGGAGGCAGGAGUGGGGAAUAUUGCACAAUGGGCGCAAGCCUGAUGCAGCCAUGCGGCGUGUGUGAAGAAGUCCUUCGGGUUGUAAAGAACUUUCAGCGAGGAGGCGUUACUCUCAGAAGAAGCACCGGCUAACUCCGUGCCAGCAGCCGCGGUAAUU
rnacentral:rRNA from 1 species